UAGGGAAUCUUGCGCAAUGGGCGAAAGCCUGACGCAGCCAUGCCGCGUGAAUGAUGAAGGUCUUAGGAUUGUAAAAUUCUUUCACCGGGGACGAUAAUGACGGUACCCGGAGAAGAAGCCCCGGCUAACUUCGUGCCAGCAGCCGCGGUAAUACGAAGGGGGCUAGCGUUGCUCGGAAUUACUGGGCGUAAAGGGAGCGUAGGCGGAUAGUUUAGUCAGAGGUGAAAGCCCAGGGCUCAACCUUGGAAUUGCCUUUGAUACUGGCUAUCUUGAGUAUGGAAGAGGUAUGUGGAACUCCGAGUGUAGAGGUGAAAUUCGUAGAUAUUCGGAAGAACACCAGUGGCGAAGGCGACAUACUGGUCCAUUACUGACGCUGAGGCUCGAAAGCGUGGGGAGCAAACAG
rnacentral:rRNA from 1 species